rnacentral:tRNA from 1 species
GGAGAUGUGGCAGAGUGGUCGAUUGCGGUAGUCUUGAAAACUACUGUACCGCAAGGUACCGGGGGUUCGAAUCCCUCUCUCUCCG